GUGCUCACUUCUGCAGCACAUAUACUAAAAUUGGAAUGAUACAGAGAAGAUUAGCAUGGGCCCUGCACAUAGAUGACAUGCAAAUUCGUGACGUGUUCCAUAUUUUU